rnacentral:rRNA from 1 species
UACGUAGGGGGCAAGCGUUAUCCGGAUUUACUGGGUGUAAAGGGUGCGUAGGUGGCAGGGCAAGUCAGAUGUGAAAGCCCGGGGCCCAACCCCGGUACUGCAUUUGAAACUGUCCGGCUGGAGUGCAGGAGAGGUAAGCGGAAUUCCUAGUGUAGCGGUGAAAUGCGUAGAUAUUAGGAGGAACACCGGCGGCGAAGGCGGCCUGCUGGACCGUAACUGGCGUUGAGGCUCGAAAGCGUGGGGAGCAAACAGG